UUUUUUUUGUGUUUUGUUAUGUAAGUUUUCUUUUGUUU
rnacentral:sRNA from 1 species